AGAAAUAGAAGGCCAAUACCACGAUCACGAAGGUGGUUUUCCCAGGACAAGGCUGAUCCAUUGCACUCUGGAUGUGCUGAUCCCUGCGAUUUCUCCAAGUAUGGAAACUCGACUGCAUAAUUGUGGUAGUGGGGAACUGCGUUUGCGCUCUCCCCUG